UACAGAGGGUGCAAGCGUUGUUCGGAAUUAUUGGGCGUAAAGGGCGCGUAGGCGGUGCGGUAAGUCACCUGUGAAAUCUCCUGGCUCAACUGGGAGCUUGCAGGCGAAACUGCCGUGCUGGAGUGUGGGAGAGGUGAGUGGAAUUCCCGGUGUAGCGGUGAAAUGCGUAGAUAUCGGGGAGGAACACCUGUGGCGAAAGCGGCUCACUGGACCACAACUGACGCUGAGGCGCGAAAAGCUAGGGGAGCAAACAGG
rnacentral:rRNA from 1 species